UUGUUGCUGAUAUUUCACUAAUUUCUUGCAAGAUUUCAAAUCUUGGUAACUAUUUCAUCAUUGUUUGAAAUAAAAGAAAUGUGUCAACUGUUUCAAAUUAAAAGUGACUGGUUUUUUCUGAAGUUCAGAGUUGGUAAUCCAUAUCAUCCUAAGUUUUUCCAUCUUCAUUCCUAACUUAGGAUUUCUUCCAUGCAAUUGUCCAAAUCCCACUAUAUACUUACAUCAACAUAUAUUUCGGCUAUUUCCUUUAGUGGUUGUUCAAUAGCUCGCAUGCUUGAUUGCAGGAGGAAUCCCAACUAGCAAAGAUAACUCGUGAUAGCUCAAAAAUUACCGUUGAGCAGGUCCAUGGCCUCAUGUCCCAGGUUAUCAAGGACAUGCUAUUCAACUCUGUGCGGCAGUCCAGAAAAGCUUCUGCAAACCAUGAUUCCUCUGGACCUGAACCAAUGGUUGAAGCUUAAAUUGAAAAAAA